rnacentral:rRNA from 1 species
AUUGAACGCUGGCGGCAGGCCUAACACAUGCAAGUCGAGCGAGCGGCGGACGGGUGAGUAAUGUCUGGGAAACUGCCUGAUGGAGGGGGAUAACUACUGGAAACGGUAGCUAAUACCGCAUACCAUCAGAUGUGCCCAGAGGGGAUUAGCUAGUAGGUGGGGUAACGGCGCAACUGGGCGACGAUCCCUACCUGGUCUGCGAGGAGUACCCUGCACACUGGAACUGAGACACGGCCCAGACUCCUCAGGGAGGCAGCAGUGGGGAAGAUUGCACAAUGGGCGAAAGCCUGACGCAGCAAUGCCGCGUGUGUGAAGAAGGCCUUCGGGUUGGAAAGCACUGUCAGCGGGGAGGCGUUACCCGCAGAAGAAGCACCGGCUAACUCCGUGCCAGCAGCCGCGGUAAUAC